rnacentral:rRNA from 1 species
AAAUUGAAGAGUUUGAUCAUGGCUCAGAUUGAACGCUGGCGGCAGGCCUAACACAUGCAAGUCGAACGGUAACAGGGAUCAGCUUGCUGAUUCGCUGACGAGUGGCGGACGGGUGAGUAAUGUCUGGGAAACUGCCUGAUGGAGGGGGAUAACUACUGGAAACGGUAGCUAAUACCGCAUAACGUCGCAAGACCAAAGAGGGGGACCU